rnacentral:tmRNA from 1 species
ACCUUGCGGCCCGGAAUCGCUAUGUUGGCUGCGAGGUUGAUGACCGGUUCAUAAUAACGUUUCAGGACCCGGGGGCGGUACCCGGCGCCUCCACCAGAAGCACCUUGCCUCGCGCAUGCGGGGACCGGAACGAGGGUGCUGCUGCUGGGGGCGAAACAGGAUCGACUGGACGGUAAAGGGAUCGCGAGUUUGGUCCUGCUUCGGCAGGAUACGAUGCGACUUUCGGUAAGGACUCGACCGGUCUGGCGUGGGCGACCCCGUUCCAGGCACCUGACCAAAACUCUAAAUGCCAACGAUAACGUUGUCAUGGAUGCCCGCCUCGCGGCGUAAGCAUCUUGCGGCAGGGUAGCCGUAGAAACAGAACCCGGAGCUUCGGCUCCGGGACCCAUCUUUUCCCGGCCUGCAGCGGCCGAUGCCUGAG